ensembl:misc_RNA Y_RNA Y RNA
GGCUGGUCUGAUGGUAGUGGGUUAUCAGAACUUACUCACAUUAGUGUCACUAAAGUUGGUAUACAAUCCCCUACUGCUAAAUUUGACUGGCUUAAA